UAGGGAAUCUUCGGCAAUGGACGGAAGUCUGACCGAGCAACGCCGCGUGAGUGAAGAAGGUUUUCGGAUCGUAAAGCUCUGUUGUAAGAGAAGAACGAGUGUGAGAGUGGAAAGUUCACACUGUGACGGUAUCUUACCAGAAAGGGACGGCUAACUACGUGCCAGCAGCCGCGGUAAUACGUAGGCCCCGAGCGUUGUCCGGAUUUAUUGGGCGUAAAGCGAGCGCAGGCGGUUAGAUAAGUCUGAAGUUAAAGGCUGUGGCUUAACCAUAGUAGGCUUUGGAAACUGUUUAACUUGAGUGCAAGAGGGGAGAGUGGAAUUCCAUGUGUAGCGGUGAAAUGCGUAGAUAUAUGGAGGAACACCGGUGGCGAAAGCGGCUCUCUGGCUUGUAACUGACGCUGAGGCUCGAAAGCGUGGGGAGCAAACAGGAUUAGAUACCCUGGUAGUCCGCGCUGUAAACGAUGAGUGCAAGGUGUUAGACCCUUUCCGGGGUUUAGUGCCGUAGCUAACGCAUUAAGCACUCCGCCUGGGGAGUACGACCGCAAGGUU
rnacentral:rRNA from 1 species